rfam:Beta vulgaris subsp. vulgaris Bvchr6.sca028.con0023.1, whole genome shotgun sequence.
AGCCAUGCAGUGAGCACAGAGCGAACUAUUCUUUCGCCUUUUACUAAAGAAUACCGUGUGCUCGCUGCAUAUAGUGGCAUACGUUUAUUUUUGUAGGGAGUUCUUUUAUGGAACUUC